GUCACUCACAGCAUCGCGAGCCUGGCCGGUCCGCAAGGGGUGGGGAUCCCCCCUCCCCCCUCUGGCCCCGCUCCCCGCAACAGUCCCAGCGCAACCUCGUAUUGCGCACGGCCCGGGGAGCUCCGCUGCACGGCGGGGUAAUGGGCCGCCCCCUCCGGGGAAGGAUGGGGGGGGGGUCUCCUGCCCUGGCGCUGGGACAAGCGCGGCCCCCACAUCUCGCUCCCCCAGACAGGACUGGAAGCUUUUGAUCCGUCAUACAAACUAUUGACUCUUGAGCUAAUGGAGUAACUAACAGAAGUGGUAGACCGUCAUUCUCUACUUGAGCCAUCACUAGAGUUUCAUGGAUAUUUGCUGACAGCAGAGGAAUGUGAGACACUGGAAUACUGGGUUCAGUUCCAGGCUCUGGAGAGGAGCAUGCGCUACUGAGGUAGCUUCCUCCUCCACACUGUCUGAAAGUCCAUAAGGAAUAUGGAGAAAGAACUGAGAGCAUCGGAGAAACAGUCCAGCAAUUGUCAAUUCCUGUAUCCAUCUUAUAGCAGCCAGAAGCUGCUAUUUCAAAUAAAGUCCUAGUCAGUGGCUGCAACCCUGCGUUGGAGUAUGCUCAGUGCAGACAAACUGUUCUGAGAAUUUUAGCAGUAAAACUUCAAUAAGUCACUACUGAGCCUGUUCAAACAGAUUUUUAGAAGGUUUACAACUUGGCCAGAUCUCUGCUAGGAGUGCCAAGACACAUCCCUGAAACCAG